rnacentral:tRNA from 1 species
GGGAAGAUGGCUCAGUGGUAGAGUGCUUGCCUUGCAUGCAUGAGGCCCUGGGUUCUAUUCCUU